GGCCUUAUCAACUAAUGACGUACAGAGAGUCUGGCCCUUUAAAAGUUAGGACAAAGGGAAGAGAGAGGUUAGUUGGUGGAGUUUGGGCAUUCAGAUUCGGACAUACAGAGAGAUUCAGGACACUCUCUGGGACUAACACUCAACUCUCAAACUCUCUUGGACACAACUCAAGAAACACUCCUUGACACUUAGAAUUUUACUGAUACUUUCUAACCAACACCACUUUUCUC